CCUACGGGAGGCAGCAGUGAGGAAUAUUGGUCAAUGGGCGCGAUCCUGAACCAGCCAAGCCGCGUGAGGGAAGACGGUCCUAUGGAUUGUAAACCUCUUUUGUCGGGGAGCAAAAGACGCGACGCGUCCCGUUCUGAGUGUACCCGAAGAAAAAGCAUCGGCUAACUCCGUGCCAGCAGCCGCGGUAAUACGGAGGAUGCGAGCGUUAUCCGGAUUUAUUGGGUUUAAAGGGUGCGUAGGCGGAAUACCAAGUCAGCGGUAAAAUCGCGGGGCUCAACCGUGAGGGGCCGCGGAAACUGGGGACCUUGAGUGGGCGGAAGGCAGGCGGAAUGCGUGGUGUAGCGGUGAAAUGCUUAGAUAUCACGAAGAACCCCGAUUGCGAAGGCAGCCUGCCGGAGCGUAACUGACGCUGAAGCACGAAAGCGCGGGUAUCGAACAGGAUUAGAUACCCUGGUAGUC
rnacentral:rRNA from 1 species